rnacentral:rRNA from 1 species
UACGGAAGGGUGCAAGCGUUUAAUCGGAAUUACUGGGCGUAAAGCGCGCGUAGGUGGUUUGAUAAGGCGAGAUGUGAAAGCCCCGGGCUUUAACCUGGGAACGGCAUUUCGAACUGUCAGGCUAGAGUAUUGGUAGAGGAGUGUGGAAUUUUCCUGUGUAGCGGUGAAAUGCGUAGAUAUAGGAAGGAACACCAGUGGCUGAAGGCGCACUCUGGACCAAUACUGACACUGAGGUGCGAAAGCGUGGGGAGCAAACAGGAUUAGAUACCCCCGUAGUCC